ACUAAGAAGUGAAGCCAAGUACCCAGCAUCUCUGCUGGCUGUCAUGACUGACUCUAAAGAUGGCAGAUCAGGCUUCAAGCUUCCUUGUGGAGAGAUGUAAAGAAAUGCAGAUAGCUGAAAAACUGCUGGAAUUCAUCCAUUCUGUUCUUUCAGUGAGGAAAGGUGGCCUGGUGGGGAGAGCAGAAACUCUGUAACAAAGCUUUAAGGUUUCUUGCACGUCCAGCAAUGGAACAGUGUUUGGUUAGUGCUUUCUCUCUUCUGCAUGAGGAUCCUGAU